GACGAACGCUGGCGGCGUGCUUAACACAUGCAAGUCGAACGGUAAGGCCCUUCGGGGUACACGAGUGGCGAACGGGUGAGUAACACGUGGGUGAUCUGCCCUGCACUUCGGGAUAAGCCUGGGAAACUGGGUCUAAUACCGGAUAGGACCACUGCCUGCAUGGGUGGUGGAAAGCUUUUGCGGUGUGGGAUGGGCCCGCGGCCUAUCAGCUUGUUGGUGGGGUGAUGGCCUACCAAGGCGACGGCGGGUAGCCGGCCUGAGAGGGUGACCGGCCACACUGGGACUGAGAUACGGCCCAGACUCCUACGGGAGGCAGCAGUGGGGAAUAUUGCACAAUGGGCGCAAGCCUGGUGCAGCGACGCCGCGUGAGGGAUGACGGCCUUCGGGUUGUAAACCUCUUUCAGCACCGACGAAGCGCAAGUGACGGUAGGUGCAGAAGAAGGACCGGCCAACUACGUGCCAGCCGCCGCCGUAA
rnacentral:rRNA from 1 species